AACCGGACCACAGCACGGUUCGCAGGCGCAGAGCAGCCGCUUGGUGCACGCAGACUCCGGCGCAGCGGGCGCUGUAAAAUCGCGCAGAGCCUCCCCCUGCAGCUGCGCUCCAGCCCAGGCGUGCACAGGGGGACAGAUAAGUCGCAGCAGCGAGCCAUGGCUCCGAAGAGCGGGGACGGGAUUCAAAGGCACGUAGCCCAGCCCGAAAGCUAACAGCCGCCGCUCCCCGGGCACCAUGAAGAAAGACUUGCCUGUGUCCUUAGCUGGACUCAAAAGCAGCGAGCCUAGUCUGUCCUUGUCUCCAGUGCUAGCCCCGGCGACCGCUCUGCUGGAGGAGGCUGCGGAUCUGCUGGUGGUGCACCUGGACUUCGCUGCUGCUCUGGACAGGUGUGAGCGGGGCUGCGAGAGCCUCGCCUCGGACCCUGGCUGUGAAAGCUCUGCGGAAGUAAAAUGCUCCCUGUGCAUUGUGGGGAUCCAGGCCCUGGCAGAGAUGAACCGGUGGAGAGAAGUUCUGUCCUGGGUCCUGCAGUAUUACCAGGUCCCUGAACAGCUGCCUCCAAAAAUUCUGGAACUGUGCAUCCUUUUAUAUAGCAAAGUGAAGGAGCCCCAUGUGAUGCUGGAAGUUGACAGUUAUUGGCUGAGAGAUUUAACCAAUCAGAGCCUGCCUUCGUAUGGCACCUUAAUGGAGUUACAUGUGUUGCAUGUGUUGCUCCCCCUUGGACAAUUUGUGGAGGCAGAGGAGCUGGUACAGAGCUGUGAAGCUUUCAGCAAGGAGCAACAACUUGAGGCCCUGAGGACCAUUAGUGAGAGGAGGUGUCGGUGGGUACAGCAAGAAGAGACACAAUCAUCCCCUGAAGACCAACCAGCUACAGUGAGGCAGAAGCUGUUAGAUCCCUCAGCUUGGAUCCUUCCCAAAUGUUCAGGAGAAAAGAUGGACUUUGCAGCAUGUCCAGAAGGCCAGCAAAUCAGGCUCUGUGUCCCGAAAGUUAUUGACCAUAUUAACAAUGCUGCGUAGAGCACUGGGAUGCAUGUUAAGCCACUUCUGUUCCAGCCCUUUCAAAAAGACGCUGUUGGCUGCUCUCAUACUAUGCCUUGUUGUGGUGAGACUAGACCCCGCGGCUCCCACGUCUCUUCCCUUCCUUUACAAGCUGGUCCAGCUCUGCCAUCAGGCAUGGGUGACUGUAUUUUCUCCUCUCCAUAGGCCUCCAGUUCAAGACUAAGCAGUUUUAUGAUGUAUUUUCAAGUCUUUUGUCUCUGUUGCUGCGCAAGUGGCACUUUGUCUUUUAAGGAUUUUAAUCAGGCUUUUUGAGGGUGCUUGAAACCAAUGUACUAAUUAAAAUGACUACGAGUGGGCUCCUGUGAGUGACACCUUCCUCUCUUGCCAGACUGGGAACCCGGUCGAAUGCUGUCUGGGUUUUGAAACUGCCUCAGCGACUCACCUCCCUGUGCUGUGCAGCUCUGCAGCACAGUACUAACCCUGCUGGAAUGGACGUGUGAAUCCAUGUCUUGUCUUGAUGCCCCUUUGAAGUGGUGGCUUUUGGUGUGGGUCCCCAAAGGAGAGGUUGUAGCCAAUGGCAAAGAACAAUGAAGGCCUGCUGAGAGACUGCACCACCUUUGCAAAUGGUUUUGAAGUCACCUGAGCAGUGGGAGUGGACUUUCAGCAGGUUUGGUUAUGAAAGAUCUUGAGUACCACAUCUACACCAAACUCUAGGAGCCAAAAAACUGUCCUGUCUUGGGACCCACUUUUAAAUGUCCAGUUUCUGCAGCAUGGGAUUUAAACCAAAUAUGUGGAACAUGGUUAAAAUAUUGCAGACUGAAAAUGGAGCCUGUUCUUUUGAGGGCCAGAGUUUCUAUUGUGACCCUGAUGUAUCUUGGCUUAGACUUUCACACUUUGAAUUUAACAGUUGUGGCUAAGCAAAAAAUACCAAGGAGAUGGGAUGCAUAGACCCAUCAGUCCAUUCUGUCCUGUCUGGGUAUACUACAUCCAGUGCAAGCAAUUAUACACAUUUCUCUUUUCUGAUGAUCAUUAAUACUAAAUAUUUGACACUGGAUAAGUUAGAAGAGGGGACUGCAGAUAAAUGGCAAUGGUGACAAUGAUUAAUCUUAAUAUGCUCCAUAUGUCUAACCUGCCCCGUUACUUGAAUUAUGUAGUUUCACUGCAUAUUUUGUGUGUCUGUAUCUUAUGGUGACAAGCUUUCUACUUAGGUAUUUAGAUUUAAAUACAAAAGACUCCUACUCAAAUGUCUAGCUGUUACAACAAGUACUUAGAAUCAUACCCCACAACGUGUAAUCAUCUAGCAGCAAAACUGCACUCUUUCACAUCAAGAGUAAAUAACAGGUCUCAAAAUACAUUUCCCCUGCUACCCAAACCCUUAUAUCCCCACUCCUCACCAAAAACCCUAGCCCAUGCAUCUGUAGUGCACAUCUUGCCAUCCUAUCUCUACAAGCUUAGUUACUGAUUCAUCAUUUCGAAGACUUUCAUCAUAAAAUAAUCUACAAAGACUGUAAGGAGAGACUCUGGGUUUGUUUACAUUGUGUGGUAAUGGGUUCCAGGGGGCAGAGGGUAUGAUUUGUAAAAUGCACUAGCUUGCAUAUUACUUGGUCUGUGUAUUCCCUCCUGGGAUAUGCCCUAAAAGUUUCCUACCUUGUUUUAACGUAGGACUGUUUCAAACAGCAUUAUGUUAAAGUGCACUAAGGAAUUUCUCGGGCACACCAGUAGGAUCUACAUGGUCUGAUAUAUAUGCAACUCAUUAGUAAGCUUUAGAACUCACACUCCUGUAGAGUGUGUUGUCACACUGUAGAUAAGCCCUCUUUGUAACUCAUGUAAGGAUGACUAUUUUAUACUUCCCAAUUUCCUAUACUGUAGGAUCUAACUAUGUACAGGCAGUCCCCAGGUUACGUACAAGAUAGGGACUGUAGGUUUGUUCUUAAGUUGAAUCUGUAUGUAAGUCGGAACUGGCGUCCAGAUUC